AGGACGAACGCUGGCGGCGUGCUUCAUACAUGCAAGUCGAACGAGAAGCUGACUUCGGUCAGUGGAAAGUGGCGGACGGGUGAGUAAUAUGUAGAGAAUCUGCCCUUGAGUGGGGGACAACAGAGGGAAACUUCUGCUAAUACCCCAUAUGAGCUAACUUGAAAUAGUUAUCUUGAAAACUCCGGUGCUCAAGGAUGAGUCUGCAUCUGAUUAGCUAGUUGGCGGUGUAAUGGACCACCAAGGCGACGAUCAGUAGCUGGUUUGAGAGGAUGAUCAGCCACAAUGGGACUGAGACACGGCCCAUACUCCUACGGGAGGCAGCAGUAGGGAAUUUUGCGCAAUGGGCGAAAGCCUGAACCGCAGCAACGCCGCGUGAACGAUUAAGCCCUUCGGGGUGUAAAGUUCUGUCAGUAGGGACGAAUUUUGACGGUACCUACAGAGGAAGCACCGGCUAACUCCGUGCCAGCAGCUGC
rnacentral:rRNA from 1 species